AGAGAUUAUACACAGGUAGAACAGCCACAAUAGCUUAUGAUUAUUUCUGACAUCUAAUAAUAUUUAAUACAAUUUCAUUUAAAAGAUCAUAUUAUUUAUUUUAUAAACAAACAUAUAAAUUAGUCCAGUUAUUUAAGAUUUUUUUUUCUGUAUAAUUAACUUUUAUUGUUGGUAACUUUUUGCCUUCUGUGUACCUCAUACAGUAACUAAUUUAUAGCAUAGGUUUCAAAGUUUUUUUUUGUGUUGUUGUUGUUUUUUUUUUUCAAGAGUUUCUUAUUUUUUUUAUAUAAAGAUAAAGAAAAUAUAUUAUCUAAAAUAUCUAUAUUUACCAUUAAAGGUUAAACAUAGGAACAUAGGUGCUCUCUCUGCAUUUAAAAUUCAAAUGUGGGCCCCAGAUGCACAACAAAACAACAACAUUCACCCUGCACCCCACACACAGAUACAAAAGGUCUCUGAAAAAUGUGUGGGUGUCCACAAGUGCACAUUUAGUUGAGAUGUAAAAUACUAUGUAGAAGUUAUUUCUCCCAAUGUUCAGUCAUAUUUGUGUAUCAGGCUUUCCAUAUACUGUAUGCACAUAUAUGCACUGAACACCCCAUGAAAUAUAAAACCAAAACUAGCAAGGUGAACCUAGGAAUUGAUGUUCAAAGCCAUUCAGAAAAAUACCCCUUGAGAGCAAAUAAACAAACACUUUAAGUCUUUUAAGGAUUAGGAUACCCCAGAUCACCGGAGGAAAAGCCAUCUGGUCAUGUUUAAAUCAGUCUGGGAAGGUGCACGUGUGUGUGUGUGUGUGUGUGUGUGUGUGUGUGUGUGUGUGUGUGUGUGUGUGUGUGUGUGUGUGUGUGUGUGUGUGUAUGCAAGUGUGAAUCAGACAGUAAGAUGAGGUUGAGGCAAGUAUUCCACUCAGUUCCUUUUCAAUAAGGUUCAAAGUUGAAAGCCUAAAUGCAGGAUAUCCUGUUAUAAUCCUAUCAAACAACUGAGAACUCAUUUACCACAUCAAACACAGACCUGUUUCUUUUUUAAAUACUGUAAAGCAAUGUGGGGAUUUCUUUUCAAGUGAGCUCCAUAUCACUGCCUUGUCAGAGCAUCCCCAUGUUGAGAACUAACAUGACACAGUCAGCAGGCCUAUAGAUCUCUAUGUACUAGAGCAACCCACACAUGGCCGGCUGUGGGUGGAGGGGAGGGGAGUAUGACAGUGCACAGCUGUGGCUCGGGUGUGAAGGAUUCAGGUUUAAAGAGGCUCUGGAGGAGCUUGGUCAAUGCUGGAUGCGGUGGAGCUAGCAAAAGGCUAAAACAUGCCCUCCUCUGACAUGCUUAAAGUGAUCGUUUACCCAAAAAUGUAAAUGCUGUCAUUAUUUACUCAUUCUCUGGUCAUUCCAAUUACGUAUGCUGUUAUUUUUUUAUGGAACCACUGUCUGAAGCAUGGGCUCAGGAUGGAGUUCACCAAAAUUACCAACCAUAAACUUCCAUCCGGACUGCGAUGCUCCUAACUGAAUGAUACCUAUAUCAACUUGGUCAAAAGAGGGACAACACUCUCUCAAACUAUAUAGAAAAUUAACCACUAAUAAAAGCCUGCAUUGGCCAAAAUCAAAGGAAAAUGCAUCUACGUGUAUUUUCUCAGUUAAUUCAGGAUGACUUCAAGAACUUUAACACUAAAACUUAUAGUUCAUACAAAUUAAUUUUGUUUAACCAUUGACCCACACCACUUACUUAGUUUACUAAUUUUAACCACUAUUAUUUCUAAACAUAAAUAACUAAUUUUGGCAUUAUAUUCUAGUAAUUUUAUUUACAGCUGCUUUGAAACAAUGCCUGUUGUGAUAAGAGCUAUGCAAUUAAAUUUGACUUGACUUGACAUGGAAUGCAAAAGUAGAAAUAUUUGAAGAAUCAUUCUGCUGCUCUUUUCACACAAUGACAAUUCAUAAUGACCAGGAGCUGUCAUGCUCAAAAAAGGACCAAAAACAUUAUAAUGUUGGACUUAGACAUAUUGAUGACUUUAACAGUGCUUUUUUUGUGGGCAUAUUUGUCCUUUAGGAUCUUAAUAUACAUAAUAACUAUGAACUCUAAUUGUAUGGCAAGAUCUGUGUAAAUAUUCCUCAAAGAAAUUCUCCUAUAAUGUUCCACAAAAUAAAUAAAAUUAACAACAUAAAUGUUUUUAUUGACAUAAGGGCAUCUGUGGCUCAGGUAGUAGAGUGGGUUUGGCCACUAAUCACAGGGUUGGCGGUUCGAUUCCUGGACCACAUGACUCCACAUGCCGAAGUGUCCUUGUGCAAGACACUGAACCCCAAGUUGCUCCCAAUGUCAGGCUAGCGCCUUGCAUGGCAGCUCUGCCGUCAUUGGUGUAUGAGUGUGUGUGUGAAUGGGUGAAUGGAACACAGUCAGAGACGUUACAACGGGGUAGGCAAACCAGGCAAUUGCCUGGGGCCCCAAGCUGGAAGGGGGCCCCCUGAAGGACGGCUGAUUACAUUGGACCACAGCAACGACAACAUGGAACCCUCUUAAAUUUUUUGAUGGUACAAGUCACUGCAUGACAUGUCCGGAACCCCCCUAAAGGGGCCCCCAUGCUACGAACGGACCAUGAAGCGGAUUUACCCGUCCGGGCAUAUUAAAAGGAAACGAAAGCAAGAGGAAGAAAAAACGAGACACUGGUGCUUUGCUUAAAUUUCUUUGUCCACCUCAACAAAGAUGCCUCAACAGAUGAAGCAAUAUCAACUUCAAGUCACGAGGAGGACCUUGAGGAAGACAUGGCCAGUACUUCCAGUGGCAGCACGUCAGUUCCAUUACAAGGGGCCACACCAAUCCUUACCACCACUUCCUCCUCCUCACCACAUCCAGACUUAACCACAGCAACUCCAAAAUCUGAUAAAAAAUGUGCACUAUGGUUUUGUAAGCAAUUUUUUUGUAUUGUUUGUGUAUUUGGAGUUAUUUAUAUUAUGUAUGCAAAGUUUGCCUUUAUUCAUAUUUUAUAUUUUAUUUACAUUAUUUCCAUUGAAAAGAAAGCAUUUCAUGGAAAAUAAAAGAUUUGUUUGUAUAAUAAACAAUGUGCAUGGAUUAAUGAUUAAUGUGCCUUAUGGGGGUAGUAGGGGUGGUUGUGUGUUGGGGGGUCACCAGGUCCCUUCUGCCUGGGGCCCCCAGAGUCUCUAGAAACAGUGUAAAUGCUUUGGUAACCGCUAAGGUUAAAAAAGGUGCUAUAUAAGUGCAGACCAUAAGUGUGAGUAAAUAAUGACAGAAUUUUCAUUUUUGGGUGAACUAUUCCUUUAAGCAAACAGUCUAAAAAUGAGAGAUGCAGCUUCUUUCAGUUUGAUUUGGUUGUCUGAGAUUAAAACUGGCAUGUUUCAUUGCAAUUCCCAGUUGAAUCCUGAAAGGCAUAAUCAAACCAGUAGA